rnacentral:rRNA from 1 species
GAUGAACGCUGGCGGCGUGCCUAAUACAUGCAAGUCGAGCGAAUGGAUUAAGAGCUUGCUCUUAUGAAGUUAGCGGCGGACGGGUGAGUAACACGUGGGUAACCUGCCCAUAAGACUGGGAUAACUCCGGGAAACCGGGGCUAAUACCGGAUAACAUUUUGAACCGCAUGGUUCGAAAUUGAACGGCGGCUUCGGCCGGUACUUAUGGAUGGACCCGCGUCGCAUUAGCUAGUUGGUGAGGUAACGGCUCACCAAGGCAACGAUGCGUAGCCGACCUGAGAGGGUGAUCGGCACACUGGGACUGAGACACGGCCCAGACUCCUACGGGAGGCAGCAGUAGGGAAUCUUCCGCAAUGGACGAAAGUCCGACGGAGCAACGCCGCGUGAGUGAUGAAGGCUUUCGGGUCGUAAAACUCUGUUGUUAGGGAAGAACAAGUGCUAGUUGAAUAAGCUGGCACCUUGACGGUACCUAACCAGAAAGCCACGGCUAACUACGUGCCAGCCGCCGCGGUAA